UAUGCCCAAUGGACGCAAGUCUGAGGCAGCAACGCCGCGUGGGCGAUGAAGGCCUUCGGGUUGUAAAGCCCUUUUCUGGGGGACGAGAAAGGACGGUACCCCAGGAAUAAGUCACGGCUAACUACGUGCCAGCAGCCGCGGUAAUACGUAGGUGGCCAGCGUUAUCCGGAUUCACUGGGCGUAAAGCGCGUGCAGGCGGUUCUGUAAGUCGGACGUGAAAGCUCCUGGCUUAACUGGGAGAGGUCGUUCGAUACUGCGGGGCUUGAGGUCGGGAGAGGGACGUGGAAUUCCCGGUGUAGUGGUGGAAUGCGUAGAUAUCGGGAGGAACACCAGUGGCGAAGGCGGCGUCCUGGCCCGCACCUGACGCUAAGACGCGAAAGCGUGGGAAGCGAACGGGAUUAGAUACCCCGGUAGUCCACGCUGUAAACGGUGGAUACUAGGUGUUGGUGGCUAUCGUCAUCAGUGCCGUAGCUAACGCGUUAAGUAUCCCGCCUGGGGACUACGGCCGCAAGGCUA
rnacentral:rRNA from 1 species